rnacentral:rRNA from 1 species
CAAUAGCGUAUAUUAAAGUUGUUGCGGUAAAAAAGCUCGUAGUUGGAUUUCUACCGAAGAUAGCCGGUCGGGUCUUCGACCUUGUAUCUGGUUUUGUCUUUGGUAUCCUCAUAGGGAACGUUUCUGCGCUUUAUUGCGUGGUGCGGUAUCUAUGACUUUUACUUUGAGGAAAUUAGAGUGUUCACGGCAGGCAAACGCCUUGAAUAUAUUAGCAUGGAAUAAUAACAUAGGAUCUUCGUCCUAUUUUGUUGGUUUCUAGGGCUAAGAUAAUGAUUAAUAGGGAUAAUUGGGGGCAUCUGUAUCAACGCGUCAGAGGUGUAAUUCUUGGAUUGCGUUGCGACAAACUACUGCGAAAGCAUUUGCCAAGGAUGUUUUCAUUGA